rnacentral:rRNA from 2 species
GACGAACGCUGGCGGCGUGCUUAACACAUGCAAGUCGAACGGAAAGGCCCUGCUUUUGUGGGGUGCUCGAGUGGCGAACGGGUGAGUAACACGUGAGUAACCUGCCCUUGACUUUGGGAUAACUUCAGGAAACUGGGGCUAAUACCGGAUAGGAGCUCCUGCUGCAUGGUGGGGGUUGGAAAGUUUCGGCGGUUGGGGAUGGACUCGCGGCUUAUCAGCUUGUUGGUGGGGUAGUGGCUUACCAAGGCUUUGACGGGUAGCCGGCCUGAGAGGGUGACCGGCCACAUUGGGACUGAGAUACGGCCCAGACUCCUACGGGAGGCAGCAGUGGGGAAUAUUGCACAAUGGGCGGAAGCCUGAUGCAGCAACGCCGCGUGCGGGAUGACGGCCUUCGGGUUGUAAACCGCUUUCGCCUGUGACGAAGCGUGAG